UUUUUACAUGUCCCGGAUGAACGCGGCGGCGUGCGUCAUACAUGCAAGUCGAGCGAACAGAUAAGGAGCUUGCUCCUUUGACGUUAGCGGCGGACGGGUGAGUAACACGUGUAUGACCUACGUAUAAGACUGGGAUAACUUCGGGAAACCGGAGCUAAUACCGGAUAACAUAUUGAACCGCAUGGUUCAAUAAUGAAAGGCGGCUUUGCUGUCACUUAUAGAUGGAUCCGCGCCGUAUUAGCUAGUUGGUAAGGUAACGGCUUACCAAGGCAACGAUACGUAGCCGACCUGAGAGGGUGAUCGGCCACACUGGAACUGAGACACGGUCCAGACUCCUACGGGAGGCAGCAGUAGGGAAUCUUCCGCAAUGGGCGAAAGCCUGACGGAGCAACGCCGCGUGAGUGAUGAAGGUCUUCGGAUCGUAAAACUCUGUUAUCAGGGAAGAACAAAUGUGUAAGUAACUGUGCACAUCUUGACGGUACCUGAUCAGAAAGCCACGGCUAACUACGUGCCAGCAGCCGCGGUAAUACGUAGGUGGCAAGCGUUAUCCGGAAUUAUUGGGCGUAAAGCGCGCGUAGGCGGUUUUUUAAGUCUGAUGUGAAAGCCCACGGCUCAACCGUGGAGGGUCAUUGGAAACUGGAAAACUUGAGUGCAGAAGAGGAAAGUGGAAUUCCAUGUGUAGCGGUGAAAUGCGCAGAGAUAUGGAGGAACACCAGUGGGCGAAGGCGACUUUCUGGUCUGUAACUGACGCUGAUGUGCGAAAGCAUGGGGAUCAAACAGGAUUAGAUACCCUGGUAGUCCACGCCGUAAACGAUGAGUGCUAGGUGUUAGGGGGUUUCCGCCCCUUAGUGCUGCAGCUAACGCAUUAAGCACUCCGCCUGGGGAGUACGACCGCAAGUUUGAAACUCAAUGGAAUUGACGGGGACCCGCACAAGCGGUGGAGCAUGUGGUUUAAUUCGAAGCAACGCGAAGAACCUUACGAAAUCUUGACAUCCUUUGACCACUCUAGAGAUAGAGUUUUCCCCUUCGGGGGACAAAGUGACAGCUGGUGCAUGGUUGUCGUCAGCUCGUGUCGUGAGAUGUUGGGUUAAGUCCCGCAACGAGCGCAACCCUUAAGCUUAGUUGCCAUCAUUAAGUUGGGCACUCUAAGUUGACUGCCGGAGACAAACCGGAGGAAGGUGGGGAUGACGUCGAAUCAUCAGGCCCCUUAUGAUUUGGGCUACACACGUGCUACUAUGGACAAUACAGAGGGCAGCUAAACCGAGAGGUCAAGCAAAUCCCAUAAAGUUGUUCUCAGUUCGGAUUGUAGUCUGCAACUAGACUACAUAAAGCUGGAAUCGCUAGUAAUCGUAGAUCAACAUGCUACGGUGAAUACGUUCCCGGGUCUUGUACACAGCGCGCGUCACACCAGGAGAGUUUGGAAAACCAGAAGCGGGGGUAAAACCCCUUUAGGGAGCUUGCCGCCGCAGGAUUCACGACUGAUUGGAGGACAAUCCUACAGAGCCCGGCAGUA
rnacentral:rRNA from 1 species